GCCUGGGUGGCUCAGUCGAGUUGAGCGUCUGACUUUGGCUCAGGUCAUGAUUUCACGGCUCAUGGGUUCUAGCCCCGUGUUGGGCU
rnacentral:tRNA from 1 species